ACCGACUAAUGUUGAAAAAUUAGCGGAUGACCUGUGGCUGGGGGUGAAAGGCCAAUCAAACCGGGAGAUAGCUGGUUCUCCCCGAAAGCUAUUUAGGUAGCGCCUCGUGAAUUCAUCUUCGGGGGUAGAGCACUGUUUCGGCUAGGGGGCCAUCCCGGCUUACCAACCCGAUGCAAACUACGAAUACCGAAGAAUGUUAUCACGGGAGACACACGGCGGGUGC
rnacentral:rRNA from 1 species